GUCUGAGAGGACGACCAGCCACACUGGGACUGAGACACGGCCCAGACUCCUACGGGAGGCAGCAGUGGGGAAUUUUCCGCAAUGGGCGAAAGCCUGACGGAGCAAUACCGCGUGAGGGAGGAAGGCUCUUGGGUUGUAAACCUCUUUUCUCAGGGAAUAAAAAGAUGAAGGUACCUGAGGAAUCAGCAUCGGCUAACUCCGUGCCAGCAGCCGCGGUAAUACGGAGGAUGCAAGCGUUAUCCGGAAUGAUUGGGCGUAAAGGGUCCGCAGGUGGUCAUAAAAGUCUGCUGUCAAAGAAUCUGGCUUAACUAGAUAAAGGCAGUGGAAACUAUAAGACUAGAGUACAGAAGGGGUAGAGGGAAUUCCCAGUGUAGCGGUGAAAUGCGUAGAGAUUGGGAAGAACACCGGUGGCGAAAGCGCUCUGCUGGACUGUAACUGACACUGAGG
rnacentral:rRNA from 1 species